rnacentral:rRNA from 1 species
GGGGACCUAAAGAUGAGCCUGCGUCUGAUUAGGUAGUUGGCGGAGUAAUAGCCCACCAAGCCUGCGAUCAGUAGCUGGUCUGAGAGGAUGAUCAGCCACACUGGAACUGAGACACGGUCCAGACUCCUACGGGAGGCAGCAGUAAGGAAUAUUGCUCAAUGGCCGAAAGGCUGAAGCAGCAACGCCGCGUGGAGGAUGAAAUACUUUUGUAUGUAAACUCCUGUAAGAAGGGAAAAAUAUGCAGUUUUUCUGCAUUGAUUGUACCUUCAGAGUAAGCCCCGGCUAACUACGUG